rnacentral:sRNA from 1 species
GUACAAGGCAGACCUGAAGGCAGCGGGGGUGACUAGACCAGUUCUUGCCUCUCCCAGAACCCAAAAGCAUCAUCCCAGCCCUUCCAUGGCUGUACUGACACCUAUCCCUGGGACAGGCUUUACCUUUCUUCUCUGAGAUGUCAGAUCUUUCCCCUACAGACAGGGUGGAAAAGAGAGCCGGCGCAGCAACACUUCUUCUCCAAGCACAACAACCGUACUUCCUUUGACAAAGAGGGUCCCUAUUGCCUGCUGCAGGGAAUCGGAAGGCGGAAGGACCUGGAGUGCCUGUGGCAGCGGCACACCUUCCUGCGCUGGGCACCCUGUGAGAUAGAGUUGCGCCAGCAGGGGCCCCUGGAAUCUUCUUACCAGGCUGAUUUCAGACCAGGCCCAGGACUCAGUGGCCUCCCCCAGCGCCUCGUCCACUUUGUGCAGGUCCAGCCUUCCCAUACCAGGACCACCUACCAGCAGAACUUCUGCUGCCCAUCCCAGGGUGGCCACUAUGGCAGCUACAAGGUAGGGCCCCAGGCGCCGGUCACUGACGUACUGCCUGACCUCCCAGGGAUCCCAAGACCCAAGCUGCUGCAGCACUACCUUCAUGCUGGGGUCUCUGAGUGUCUAAACUGGUCCAGAGCAUUAAACAAGGACAGCUGA